rnacentral:misc_RNA from 1 species
GAUGAAGAACGCAGCGAAAUGCGAUACUUGGUGUGAAUUGCAGAAUCCCGUGAACCAUCGAGUCUUUGAACGCAAGUUGCGCCCGAAGCCAUUAGGCCGAGGGCACGCCUGCCUGGGCGUCACACGUCGUUGCCCCCCAUCUACUCCUUCGGGAUUGCGGGGGGCGGAUGAUGGCCUCCCGUGCGCCUCGUCGCGCGGUUGGCAUAAAUGCCAAGUCCUCGGCGACGCACGCCACGACAAUCGGUGGUUGCGAAACCUCGGUUGCCCGUCGUGUGCGGUCGUCGCGCAUCGAGGGCUCGAAAAAAUUGCCGGGCUCCGGCUCGGCUUCCAACGCGACCCCAGGUCAGGCGGGGUUACCCGCUGAAUUUAAGCAUAUCAAUAAGCGGAGGA